rnacentral:rRNA from 1 species
GAGUUUGAUCCUGGCUCAGAUUGAACGCUGGCGGCAGGCCUAACACAUGCAUGUCGAACGCUGCAGCAAUGCAGAGUGGCAGACGGGUGAGUAACGCGUGGGAAUAUCCCCCUCGGUACGGAAUAGCUCAGGGAAACUUGAGGUAAUACCGUAUACGUCCGCGAGGAGAAAGAUUCAUCGCCGAGGGAUUAGCCCGCGUCGGAUUAGCUAGUUGGUGAGGUAAUGGCUCACCAAGGCGACGAUCAGUAGCUGGUCUGAGAGGAUGACCAGCAUCACUGGGACUGAGACACGGCCCAGACUCCUACGGGAGGCAGCAGUGGGGAAUAUUGGACAAUGGGCGCAAGCCUGAUCCAGCCAUGCCGCGUGGAUGAUGAAGGCCCUAGGGUUGUAAAGUCCUUUUAACGGGGAAGAUAAUGACGGUACCCGUAGAAUAAGCCCCGGCUAACUUCGUGCCAGCAGCCGCCGUAAC